rnacentral:tRNA from 1 species
UUCUAGAUAGUUUAAUGAAGAACAAAAUUUUGAAGCAAUUUAGGUAGGUUUAGCUUCUGGAUA